GAUCUGGCUCAGGAUGAACGCUAGCUACAGGCUUAACACAUGCAAGUCGAGGGGAAACGAUAUUGGAAGCUUGCUUCCGAUAGGCGUCGACCGGCGCACGGGUGAGUAACGCGUAUCCAACCUGCCCACCACUUGGGGAUAACCUUGCGAAAGUAAGACUAAUACCCAAUGAUAUCUCUAGAAGACAUCUGAAAGAGAUUAAAGAUUUAUCGGUGAUGGAUGGGGAUGCGUCUGAUUAG
rnacentral:rRNA from 1 species